GCCCCACCCUUUCCUGCUCUUUAAGGACUCAGGCCAGAUCUCAAGCCACAAUGCCUACCACACCAUCCAGUGGCCACAGUCUGGACCAUGUGCUCUUUCUAAUAAUGUUCUGGGAAUGCACCAAAGCAUCCAAAGAACGAGAACCAUAAGGACAUCUUUUACAAGAUCAAGCAAUGGAAAUAGCCUCCAGAUGUCACUGCCUGAUUCUGCAGUGAAUUCAGCAACAAACCUGCCUUCUGAUGACUUGACAGACUACAUUUCCUCAUAAGGAACCAAACAGACUGGCAGAUCAUGGAAUCCUUGAACAAUUUAGCAAUGCCCGCAACUCUUGCCAUGUGUGGUCUCGAGUAUACAUACAACCACAUCUGAAUGUGUCAUCCGUGCCAUCCUUUCCUCCAUCCCUUCCUGCUUCCUCCGAAUGUGUCCUCUGUGUCAGAUCUUCCCUACAUCCCUCACAGUCACAUACGAAUGUCUCCUCUGUUCAUCAAGGAGUACCAGAAGCAAAUGGAGCAAAACUGCAGUGCCGCAUCAUGGGAAAUGUGGCACCUUGAAGGUUGUGGGGGGUGUACCAGAACCGAAGCAAAGUUGCAUUCCACACCAAGACCAAUUCGAAGUGGAUUCAAAUUGACCCUGAAAAAAGAUUUCUGAAUUUGCUAGUUCACCAAAUUCAUCUACAUCAGGAGUGACCCUGGAUUGACUUUGGAUCGGGCUUGGAACGACUCACCAUAGAAAGCAAUCGCAUGUGAUAAUCUAUCAUGUUAUAACGUGAAUUCGCUUGGUUGGGCCUGGAGUGGCUUCGGAUUGGAGUUGC